GACGAACGCUGGCGGCGUGCUUAACACAUGCAAGUCGAACGGAAAGGCCCUGCUUUUGUGGGGUGCUCGAGUGGCGAACGGGUGAGUAACACGUGAGUAACCUGCCCUUGACUUUGUGAUAACUUCAGGAAACUGGGGCUAAUACCGGAUAGGAGCUCCUGCUGCAUGGUGGGGGUUGGAAAGUUUCGGCCGUUGGGGAUGGACUCGCGGCUUAUCAGCUUGUUGGUGGGGUAGUGGCUUACCAAGGGUUUGACGGGUAGCCGGCCUGAGAGGGUGACCGGCCACAUUGGGCCUGAGAUACGGACCAGACUCCUACGGGAGGCAGCAGUGGAGAGUAUUGCACAAUGGGCGGAAGCCUGAUGCAGAAACGCCGCGUGCGGGAUGCCGGCCUUCGGGUUGUAAACCGCUUUCGCCUGUGACGAAGCGUGAGUGACGGUAAUGGGUAAAGAAGCACCGGCUAACUACGUG
rnacentral:rRNA from 1 species